ACCAACGACUACGAUGUGAAAAUGCGCAAUGUCUUCAAGUUCCUUGAAGCCGGUGACAAAGUGAAGGUUACCCUGCGGUUCCGUGGCCGCGAGAUGGCCCACCUGAACUUGGGCCGUGAGCUGCUGGAACGCGUUGCUGCGGACAUCGAAGGUCACGGCAAGGUGGAGAACUUCCCCAAGAUGGAAGGCCGCCAGAUGAUCAUGCUGAUUGGCCCGCUGAAGACGUAAGUCGAGCCAUCAAACCAAGAUUAUAGAAAGCCCCGGCGUCCCUUUGGAUUGCCGGGGCUUUUCUUUGCGCUAGCGCCUGUUCGGAUUGCGU
rnacentral:misc_RNA from 1 species